AACUUCCUGUGGCUCCACCUCAGUGGGCAGGCUGGUUGGAGUUUCUCCAAGGACCCCCUCCCACCUGGCUGUCUCACCUGCAGUACCCAGCCUGCAACCACGAAGACAAAAACCACAGUCAGGACAGCAGAGCAGGAAACUAGAAGGACCCUGGUUGAAGGACACUCCAUGGCUUCCUCAAGUCUCUGCCCUGCUCUGCGAACAUGUGGACUUUUUAUUCAGCUAGAAAAACUAAAGCCCCAUUUGGUGAAGCCUCUGCAGUUGGCUUUUUGUUACAUGUAGCCCAAAGUGAUCCUAACUGGUACAUCGUGGACACCAUAGAAAGCCCUAUCAGAGGGGAAUCUAGAGCCAACGGAACCUAAGGAGAGAAAAGGAGGCGGAGAAGACGAGAAAUUGGCUGUGUCACAGAGGCAACUGCACGGCAAAACAUCUCUGUACAUAAAUCGCUGGGCAGAGCCGCCUCUCCUGUCCCUUCUCAUUUUUUGUUUACUUACGAGCAGCUGAGCAGCCCAAGCUUUCCCCUACACCGACAGGCACGUCCAAGCCUCUUCCCCCUUCCCUCGGGGGCCUGGAGCACCUGCUUGAAGAGUCAGCCUCCCUUUGAGAAUAGUUUAACAUAUGAAUUUGAAACUAGUUGAAGAAGAAACUCAAUCCCUGAAUCAUUAGCCUAAGUAUCUGGCAUGACAGAAUGGGUCUGUUCUAGCAGUGAGAAAUGACCUUGACUGUCCUUGGAUGGGCGGAUUCUACAGUCUUCAGCCCUUUUGCUAACAUUCCCUGACUGCUUUCUCCUGGUGGCUCAAACAGCAACAGAGACAACGGCUAAACCAGAUAAGCUACAGAGAUUUGUUUUUUUCCGUAACCAAAAGUUUCUGGGGACAUAAGAUCAUUGCAAGUAGUCAUGUGUAGUCUUUUGGCUCAAAUGUAAAAUGCUAAGUUACGCAUUAGUUGUUGCAUAAAUUUGCAUAUUGAUAUAUACAAUCCCAACGACUUUAAUAGCAUCACAGAUUAGCAGAGACAGAUGCACACAGACACACACAGCCUGACAUUCAGAGACUCCCAGGCAGAGACAAACAGCCCAAGGAAAAAGUGGGGAUGGCUCACCAGGAGCAAGGACGAUUGGAAGGAACACAGGUUUUUAAGGGAAAGAUGGAGGGCCUGGGUGGGCAGAGGGUUCUCCCCAGCUCUUGCUUUAUGUAACCUUCUGGUCCUAGGCCCCCACUCCCAUGCCCUGUCCUUGGAACUUUCCACUUGAUCCUGAGCAGAGGGCAGGAGGGAUGAUUUACGUCGGUCUGGCAUGAAUCAGAAGAUCCUGAAGUACUAGAGUCCCAGAGGAGCAUUUAGGCUUGUUUUAAGAAAAGGAGAGGAAGAUUCUUAAAGGAUGAUAUUUCUGCUUGUUUGUUUUUUGUUUUGGUCUUUCACUCUUCUAUGGCAUCCAAAUAUAGAACUAAGGUCUUGGCUGUCUGCACACCUAGAAGCCUUUGGCACUCUGCCAGCAAGGAUCAGGCCCUGAAAGAAGAUUCCACACUGGUCUGAUUUGCAAACCAAAGCCCCAAUUGAUUAAUUUACUGAGGAAAAUAAGCACUUCAGGGUGCCACCACCAGAGAGUCUACGCCCUUCUAGGAACACAGGUGCCUGGGAAAAGUCAUUCAUAAUCAGGACAAACAGCAAGGGAUUCUUUAAGGAAUAUCUUCUAUCUGCUUUGAGAGGCUACGUGACACUACCGCCACAAUAAUUAUAUAUUAUACAUGCCAAGUAGGCGCAGCUCAGUGCUGGAAACAUAUUCUUGAAUUCUUAGUCUUGGCCUCUCGUGUCUUAAGACUUUAUUCCCACCAUCUUUUGUUUUUGUGUUUACAUUGGAUAUUGAAACAUCAACAUUUUUAAUAUCAAAGAACAUCUUUCACUCAAUAAACACGUAUUGAGUUCUCAAUCUAGGCUGAAUUCUACAACAGCACUUAGGGACUGCAGUGGAGACAAAGAUGGAUAAGACACAGGGCCAGGACCUAGAAAACUCACAAUGGUGAGGGGAAGAUUACACAAAUACACGUGGCUGUACCACAGAGGGAAAAUUACUUUAUAUAAAUAUCCAGAAUGUGCUGUAGGGAUUCAAAGGAUGAGAAAUGGAAUCUGUUUGACGAGAUGGAAGGAGGCUGAUUCAUAGAGGCAGCAUUUAAGCUCAGACAUAAAGAAUAGCUAUAAUUGUAGUGAGCAGAAAUGUUCAGGUGAGUCAGUAGCAAGGAAGUGAAGGAGAGGGAAGAGAGGAGGAGGGAGAGGGAGGUAGCCCGUGUGGAAGAAGGGGAUGGUGUGUAGGCACACCCGAUGUUCUGUUCAAAUGCAUGCCUCAUGCUUGGGCUGGAGGUACAGAGGAUGUUCAGGAGAAUCGUGGGAGUCAGAACCUGUUGGGCCUACGGUGGACAGCCUUGAUGCCAGGAGCUUCAUUCUAGGGACACUGGGCACUCACAGGGUUUUGCCCAAGAGAAGGCUGUGAUCUGAACUCCAGUUCUAGAAUAUUAAUUUAGUCUCAGUAUACAGAACGGACUGGAGAGAGGAAAAAUAGAGAGUGAGGAGGCCACUGUGGAAGGUGCUAUAGGAAUUCAAAUCAGAAAUAAUGAGUAUCUGCCUGAACCAGGACAGCACAGUAGGAAUUAAAA
rnacentral:lncRNA from 10 species